UCUCGGGCGAGUGGUUGGGAGCCAUAGACCAUUCCAUACAGAAAUAUAUGGGCUAUAUAGUAUUUUCUGUUUUUCUACCCUUUUUAAAAUAUAUGUUUUAUUAUGUAUUGAUCUCUAGUUUCGGUAUUCCAUAUUUUCUAAUUUUUCUAAGUUUAAAUUUUGGUGACUAAAAAAAUAAAAAAAAGUUCUGUAUAAUUUAAUUCUUAAUAUAUUUUUGUUAGCCUGAAUUGGUCAAGUAUAAAAAGUAAUUUCAUAAAUACUUUUUAUUCUUAUUUUUUUCCUUUUUUAAAUUUUUAUAUAUUAUUGAAUUAUAUCAUCCACUUUAACUAAAUUAUUAUUUACUGACUAAAUAUUUCAUAAGCUCAAAUUAUAUUAUAUGUUUUCACUAAAUAUUUAUUGUAUUAUGUGUUAUGUUUUGUUUUCCAAAUUAAUUUUUAAGAAAUCAAUUACAUACUAAUAUUUGGUUAUGGUUUUCAUUGUUUUUUUUUUGUUAAUUUUUAUAAACUUAGUUCCUUGUUAAGAAAUUGAAGAAUAAUUCUGUGAGAUUCAAUUUUUUUGCUGGUUUGGGUUGAUGAAACGUGAAAAUUAAUGCUCAUAAAUAGAUUUUUCUUUUUUUUAUUCUUAUGAAUUUUAUUUCUUUUUCUAACAAAUUUGUAAUUUUUAGAUUAUAUUAUAUAUUUCACUUAAAUAUAUAUAUUUUGGAUGGAUAUUAAAAUAUUUGUUGGAUUAAAAAAUAAACUAUUUAUUAAAAUGAUAAAUGUUUUAUUAAAUUUUAUAAAUAGGUUUGAUAUAAAAAUAAUUAUAUAUUUUUAUCCUUAUAAAAAUUUUCUGUUUAUUCUUGAAAAAAUAUAUUAUUAGAUGAUGUUAUCUAUUCAAACUUAAUUAUUAUUCAUUUACUAAAUUUUUUCAUCAAACUCAAAUUAUAUUAUAUUUCUCAACUAUUUUU
rnacentral:lncRNA from 1 species